rnacentral:lncRNA from 1 species
UGGAACCGACCCCAAGCCAGCAACACAGCUAGGCAGCCGUCAUCAAUAUCAAAACUGCUAGUACCAUUGCUGGCCCGCUCCCAUCACCAAAGGGCAGCAACAGCCCGCUACAGGUGGUUAUUCAUUACCACUGACGAACCAUGAUUAUCAUACAACAGAACAGACAUCAGCAACCACUGCACAGCUACAGUCACGGACUCAUGCUACUCUCUACAUUAAGCAACAUAAGUCAAACUCCACACGGGGGUAAAACAUGAUAAAGUCUAAUGAACGCCCCAAACAAAUAAUCAAACACAAACAUGUAACCCAUGUCCAAUUACUGCAGCUUUGAUACUCAGAGCAGCAUAAUACAUGCAUUAAGAACAAGUAAACAUGUUCAAAACUUCUAUAUCUUAGAAUUUAUAUAUACAAUUAAUAAUUUCAAAAUAUUUUUUACCAAGUCUUUCAAAAUUUUACUAAGUCUUUCAACUUUUCUUUAUAGCUAAUUUUGCAAUAUAACCAAAUUAUCUAACCUUCUACUCAGCUUAAAUACUCCUUCAAACUAAAUCAACUCAAACACUUCGAGAAUAAAUCUUACCAAAAAUUUUGAUAAAAACAAUACUCAUAACCAAAAGAGAGAAAACAUAAACACACUUGGAGCUCUUCUCUCUAUCUCUCCCUCUCUCUUUCUGCUUCUCAUCUUCUCAGACAACACUCACUUACAGGAAGAAACAAUCAACAUAAAGCAACAUAAGCAAGAGUCAGGCCAACCACUAGAUCUUAGCAAGAAUGAAACAUGGACAAAAACUUCAAAUCAAAAGUUGAAUACAAAUGGCUAGAACCGCAUUCAGAAUAUUAUGUAGAUUUUUAUCACUGCUUUCUGACAACAUUGAGGAAAUGCAUGUUAUGUUAUGAGAAAAUCGACAUAGGCAGAGUGAUGGAAUGGAGAAAAUAAUGCUGCAGCAUUAAAGCACUAGAACAUGUAAACAAAAUGCACUUAUUUGAGGAUUAGUACCAAUGCUGAUCUCAUGUAAGUAGCUCAAGCUUGUAUAUUGACAAAUGGAAUUAAAAUGAAGUCUCAGGUGACCUCUGCCAGAGAAUUUACAUGAACAAGAACAAUCAUCUGAUAAAAGGCAUGAUAAACAGUUUCAGCAUAUAGGAAAACAAAAUUUCAGGAUAAGUUACGUAACGAGUACGGAAGCCAUAUUAUCUGCACAAGACAUGAACCAGCUUACAAGUCAAAGCAGAUCUUUUGGAACUGACCCCAAGCCAGCAACACAGUUAGGCAGCCAUCAUCAAUAUCAAAACUGCUAGUAUCAUUGCUGACCCAAUCCCAUCAACAAGGGCAGCAACAGCCCGCUACAGGUGGUUAUUCACUAGCACUUGCAUUUACUGAUCAACCAUGAAUAUCAUACAACAGAACAGAAAUCAGCUACCACUGCACAGCUACAGUCACGGACUCGUAUGCUACUCACUACAUUAAGCA